UAAUACGGAGGGUGCAAGCGUUAUCCGGAUUCACUGGGUUUAAAGGGUGCGUAGGUGGGCAGGUAAGUCAGUGGUGAAAUCCCCAAGCUUAACUUGGGAACUGCCAUUGAUACUAUUUGUCUUGAAUACCGUGGAGGUGAGCGGAAUAUGUCAUGUAGCGGUGAAAUGCUUAGAUAUGACAUAGAACACCAAUUGCGAAGGCAGCUUGCUACGCGGAUAUUGACACUGAUGCACGAAAGCGUGGGGAUCAAACAGGAUUAGAUACCCUGGUAGUCCACGCCCUAAACGAUGGAUACUCGACAUACGCGAUACACUGUGUGUGUCUGAGCGAAAGCAUUAAGUAUCCCACCUGGGAAGUACGAUCGCAAGAUUG
rnacentral:rRNA from 1 species